UACGGAGGGGGCUAGCGUUGUUCGGAUUCAUUGGGCGUAAAGGGUGCGUAGGUGGCGUCGUAAGUCGGGUGUGAAAUCUCGGGGCUUAACUCCGAAACUGCAUUCGAUACUGCGGUGCUUGAGGACUGGAGAGGAGACUGGAAUUUACGGUGUAGCAGUGAAAUGCGUAGAGAUCGUAAGGAAGACCAGUGGCGAAGGCGGGUCUCUGGACCGUAACUGACGCUGAGGAGCGAAAGCAUGGGGAGCGAACAGG
rnacentral:rRNA from 1 species